UACGUAGGGACCGAGCGUUGUCCGGAAUCAUUGGGCGUAAAGAGCGUGUAGGCGGCUAUUUAAGUCCUGCGUGAAAUCCUGCGGCUCAACCGCAGACGGUCGUGGGAAACUGGAUGGCUAGAGUGCGGGAGAGGAGAGUGGAAUUCCCGGUGUAGCGGUGAAAUGCGCAGAUAUUAGGAAGAACACCGGUGGCGAAGGCGGCUCUCUGGAACGGUACUGACGCUGAGACGCGAAAGCGUGGGGGAGCGAACAGG
rnacentral:rRNA from 1 species